AAUGACUUAAGCAAUAGUGUGCCUAUAAACACCACAAUUGUUGUAUAUUUUUGUGUCGGCUUCAUUGGCACAGUCAUAUUAGUGACAACAGUCGUCUUUUUGGCAGUUGCUCAAUGGAAUCGUCGACUGAAACUGAAAUUGUCUAAAAAAAUUAAUCGACCUGCAAAUGACAGUAAUGACGAUGCUGCAAGAAAUGAAUUGACACCAAUCAAGAAACGCCCUAAUCAUACAUACGCCAACAUUGACCCUGAUUUCUUUAAUGACGCAUCCUCUCACUCAAAACGCACAACGGAUAAAUAUCCCGCACAUCCAAUGGUUAAAAGGCCCCCCGUUUCAGUUCGUUGUGAUGAGGAUAAAGAAGAGCCCGCGUGCUCAGACGAUAUCUUUGACGUAGAUUCAUAUGACUACGUAGACAAUGAGUGGCAGGGUAAUGCAUCGGGCUCAGAUUACAGCUCUGUUCCUGCUUGCCGCACAAGUCAGGCGACGUCGUCUCAGGUUGCCUCGGCACUGAUACAUGUUCAUGUUCACCAGACGAAUCAACCGGAUGAGGACGGUCAACAGUCACUUUAUGAGCAUCUAAAGCCAGUGUCCAAAAGUGAUUAUUUAGAUUUCAGGGGGCUCAGUGCGGAAGAAUUGAGACCACGAGUUGUAUCUAAGGUAUAACGUUCUUUCUCUGACUCUUUUUAGUGUAAUGAAACCUUUGGAAGACCCCUCGAUUCAUAAGGCAAAUAACAUGGCAAGCUCAAAGCGGGAACAAAUGUUUAUGCUGUUUCAUUAAAAUAUGCCAAUACAAAAGAAUGGUGUAUCCAGGCUGCUGUAUUGGUAGCAACAUAAUAUCAUUGGCAAGAACAUUGUACUCCAUAAUUCUCACCAUUGUAACCAUCGCGUGCCGAACAUCCACUCGUCAGCAAAAAUAAUACGGGAUCAAAUUAGUAUGGUUUUAUCAAAAUCCGGUGAAUAUAUUCAACUGAAAUAUAUUUCAAGUAUUGAGUGUAUGCUGAUUUACACGGUGAUGAUGUGACAAAUGGAAAUAAUUUCCACCCGCAAAUCUGCGCUAGGGAGCUGAAACCUUGGGACACCCUAAUCUGAGAGCCAAGAGCCAAGAGCCAAGACUCUAUUUAAGAGCCA